ensembl:lncRNA
CACGGCUGAGCGACUGACACACACGUGCAGAGAAAAUCGUCAGCCUGCCUCCCUGCUGAGGAGGUUCAGAGCCCCAAACCACAUCCGGCCCGCAACCGCCUCUGCGGGCCCCCCUGCGCCGACACUGGGGCCUCAGACUCUUCUCCGGGUCCCUCUGCUCCGCCUUCUGUUCCUCCUGCUCUCGCUUUCGCAGCCUCACCCGUUUGCUCCCCGAGCCCACUCUGCGCACGCGGCGUGCGGUCCCGCAUCCUAAACACGCGCGUUCCCUGUGAGAUUCUCCGGGAGCUGUUCCUGACCUGCGCCCUUGGGCCCACAUAGGGAGGAAACAUUCAUCUCUGGAGCUUAUUGUCCGGUGCAAGGGACAGGGCUCUGCACACGACUGAUGAGGCUGCUGGAAACUUCCCUCUGAUUUCGAGUCUCCUACAGCAAGAGUACCCUAAAGUUUCCUGAUGGUGAGGGGUGUCUAGGCUGUCUCUCCUCUGUCUGGCUUCCCUCACUCGGCAUGACUCACCUUUACGGUGGACUCCACCCGCAGGUUCCUGUGCCGGCUGCAUUCAGAGUCUUUACCAUGAACUCUAAGGCCACUGACUGUCUGACCUUGCCGGGGAAAUUUUGUUUCAUUGAUAUAAAUGGACUCUUUCAUCAUUUACUGAUCGUGAACAGUGUGUUUGCAAUUUACCCUAUUAAAAUCAUGAUGUUAGAUUUAGCUUCCUAAAUCAUUUUAGGGAGCUAAUUUAACAGUAAUACCAAAACCUAACAAAGAAUAAAAACUGAAACACCAUCAACUCCUCUUAUAGACACAGAUGCAGAAUUCUUAAAUAUAAUUCUAACAAAUAAAAUACAGC